CUACGAGCUGCAGCAGUGGGGAAUAUUGGACAAUGGGGGCAACCCUGAUCCAGCAAUGCCGCGUGUGUGAAGAAGGCCUGCGGGUUGUAAAGCACUUUCAAUAGGGAGGAAAAGCUUUGGGUUAAUACCCCGAAGUCUUGACGUUACCUUUAGAAGAAGCACCGGCUAACUCUGUGCCAGCAGCCGCGGUAAUACAGAGGGUGCGAGCGUUAAUCGGAAUUACUGGGCGUAAAGCGCGCGUAGGCGGUUUGAUAAGUCAGAUGUGAAAGCCCCGGGCUUAACCUGGGAACUGCAUUUGAUACUGUCAAACUAGAGUAUGGUAGAGGGUAGUAGAAUUCCUGGUGUAGCGGUGAAAUGCGUAGAUAUCAGGAGGAAUACCAGUGGCGAAGGCGGCUACCUGGACCAAUACUGACGCUGAGGUGCGAAAGCGUGGGGAGCAAACAGGAUUAGAUACCCUAGUAGUC
rnacentral:rRNA from 1 species